UACAUGGGGUGCAAACGUUGCUCGGAAUUAUUGGGCGUAAAGCGCACGUAGGCGGUUUGUUAAGUCGGAUGUGAAAUCCCUCGGCUCAACUGAGGAAGUGCAUCCGAAACUGGCAGGCUUGAGUACUAAAGAGGGUCGCGGAAUUCCCGGUGUAGAGGUGAAAUUCGUAGAUAUCGGGAGGAACACCGGUGGCGAAGGCGGUUCUCUGGGCCUCACCUGACGCUGAGGAGCGAAAGCGUGGGGAGCGAACAGG
rnacentral:rRNA from 1 species